CCUCCCAAAGUGUUGGGAUUACAGAUGUGAGCCACUGUGCCCGGCCAACAUUUUUCAAUACAGAUUUAAAUAACAAAUAACAUUGAGAAGCCCCGCUAUAAGCUCCCAGGAAAACUAUUUUCCAUAUUCAUUUAUCCAGUAGGAUUCUGUUACUAGGCCAGAGAAUGUAUAUUUUUAUUCCUGAAAAAUGUGUCAUAAAAUACAGGGUGCAUAUGUAGACAUUUUAAAUAAUAAAAAGUUAAUACCUACAUAUGCACUGCCCACCCUAAGAAAGACAGUAUAAGCAAUUGAAACACUCUUAACCUCUAAUUCAAUGGCUGUCAUCUGGGGGCAAUUUUUCUCCCCCCGGGGGAACUUGCCAAGUCCACAGACAGCCUGGGUCAUCACCACAGGGAGGGGCCACCACUGGCAUCUGGUGGGUGGAGGCCAGGGCCGCUGCUCAACACCCUUCGAGUCCAGAAUGCCCCACUGGCCUCACGUGUCACCAGGGCCUUCCCACUGCAUGCUGGUCCCCAGGAGAUCAUCACAAUCUCAUGAGACUCUCGUGUUAACCGUCCCUUGCCCUUCCUCACAGUUCUACUGCACGUCUGUGUCUCUAGGUCACAUUUGGCUUUGCCUUUGUUUGAACUUCACGUAAGUGGGAUCAUUCAGUCCAGCCCUCUUAUCACUGCAGCUCUUUGCUAUGUCUAACCUUUUUAGCCAAUUCAUCCUGUUUCUAAUGUUAGUUAUCCGGAUUUUCAUUUCUGGGAGUUUCACUGGCUUCUGUUCUGUACUCUCUAACAGUUCUGAUGCUUUCUCCUCCUUACUGCUUUUCAUUCCUUUAAACACAGACAUAUUCCUAUUCUGUGUCUCAUCAUCUCAGGACCGGCAGCCGCUGUGCACUCGAUGUUUUGUUUGUGGUUUCUUGGGACUCUGCUCAAGGCUCAUUUUCUCUGGUGAUUUUCUCAUGAGUUCUCAGAGCAUGCACAUUCACUUCUGCAUGGGUCAAAACUAAAGUUCUAAAUUCAAUGUGUACACAGAAGAAUUCCACAGCCCACCUUGACCUGCCCACCCACCCCUUUCACGAAGCCGAAGCCAAGGGCCUGGCACUUCCUUUUUUCUUCAACCAGCAAAGUAACUCAGAGCUCCCACUGAGAGGAAGUGCAGAUCCCUCCCCCAGAUCGCUGGGAAUUCUCAGGAACACGUCUCUGCCCUUCCACCCAGGCUGAGACAGGGAGCACCCGGUGCCCGCUUCAGGUUUCUGGCUUGAGAGAUGCAGCCCCCUUCCCAUCCACAGGUAAGGUGGGAGCAGGCACCCACCUCUACCCACCUUUCUCUGAAGGGAGGGUUUCCCUGAGUUCGUGUACUGAGAGCCACCCUCCCAGAGCCCCUGAGUUCAUGCCACACGCCAAGAGUCCAGGCUUUGGGUGGUGGUGUCAGGCCUCAGGCUGCCCUCAGGGCAGGCACAUCAAACCCCUGGCAGGCAACAGCCCUGGGGGAAACGUAAGCCUCAGAAUUCCUCUACUUACCUGCCAACCCUGCCCCCAAGGAAUCCCUUAACUUUCCUGCCAACACUGCCAAGCCUUUUUUUUUUUUUUUUAAGUAGCUUAUGGUGGCUCGUGCCUGUGAUCCCAGAAAUAUUGGAGGAUGAGGAGGAAGGAUUUCUUGAAGCCAGGACUUUGAGACCAGUGACCCAUCUGACAUGGUUUGGCUGUGUCCCCACCCGAAAUUUCAUCUUGAUUGUAAUCCCCGUGUGUCAAGAGCAGGACCAAGUGGAGGUGACUGGAUCAUGGGCGUGGUUUUCCCCCACGCUGUUCUUGUGAUAGUGAGUGAGUCUCAUGGGAUCUGAUGGUUUUGUGUCUGGCAUUUCCCCUGCUUGCAUUCAUUCCAUCCUGCCGCCCUAUGGAGAGGGGACCUGCCUUCUGCCUUGAUUGUAAGUUUCCUGAGGCCUCCCCAGCAAUGUGGAACUGAAACCUCUUAAGAGUCACUUAAACCUCUUUCCUUUAUGAAUUACCUCUUCUCAGGUGUUUCUUCAUAGCAGCAUGAGAAUGAACUAAUACACCACCUCCAAUAAAAUAAUGCUUCUUAAAAGUAGCUUUUAAAAUAUUUCUCCUGCUGCCCUAGAAAUCACUGACCAUGUAAUCAGCCAAGUUCUGGAAACAGAAAUUCCUGACAGUUAAUAUUAACAAUAAAAAAAUUAUAACUGAAGAGACAAGGAAGAGGAAAGAGAAGCUGUGGAAGGAAAAUAUAAUCUCAAGACCCCAAACUCACAAUGCCAAACGGAAAAUUAAGCUUGGGAACUAAGUCAUGCCAAAACUGCUUCUCCUUUUGUUCCCAAAGAGAGUUGUGAUUUCGCAUGCUUGCCCUCAGGGUCCAGGCAGCCGGCAUACACCCUGAAGUCACCUGGUGGGGUGUCACACUACACAGGACCUGUGCUAGACACACCUUGACGUGCCCCUCAGACCCUUGCUGGGCCCAUAGGCUUUUGAGGGGUGCUAUAGCCAACUGGAUGGACGUCCUAGGCCUAUCCCAGGCCACCCAGCGCUGGACUUGAGGAAAUGUCCUCCAUAGAGAAUGAAAUAUGAUGACGACCACCCGGGGGGCAAGACAGCAAAGAAAGCAGCACUCAGUGCGCGAGCCUGGCCAGGCUGAAGCGGAACAGACAUGUCCAUCUCCCAGGACAGCUCAGGGGUGACCAACUGGACAAUAGGCCCCCUUCCCAGCAGUGGGCAUUCCUACUUGGACUCCCCUGAGGACAUCCUGGCCUCCCUCCCUGCCAUCUUCCUGUCCCUCACCUAUUGCUGGAGGGUUCAAGAAGGUCUACCGAUGCCUGUGAGAUGCCAGCCACAGCUGGUGUCCAGGGUUUUUGGCACCAUGGUGAGAAAGAAUUCAGGGCUGAGUCAAUGAAGUGAAAAGACAGAAGCUUUUAUUGCAAAGCGAAAGCACACACUUAGGACAGAAGUCGUGCCCAAAGGAAUUUGGGUUUCUAACUUUACGUGCUCUUCUAAUUAGGGGGUGGAAGAAUCAUGUGGUUUUCUAGGGAAAAGGUGGAGGUUCCCUAGAAUGGGGGUGCCAUCCAUUUUCAUAAUCGUGGUAUUCUAGGGAAAAGCGGAGGUCUCCUAGAAUAGGGGUGCCAUUCAUUUUCAUAAUUAUGUGGUUUUCUAGGGAAAAGGCGGAGGUCUCCUAGAAUGGGGGUGCCAUCCAUUUUCAUAAUCAUGUGGUAUUCUAGGGAAAAGCGGAGGUCUCCUAGAAUGGGGGUGCCAUUCAUUUUCAUACUAAAUGUGGGCAUGCUCAGAGCUGCCAUACACCCAGCCUCAUUUUAAAAAUUGGUUCCUCUUACUCUGCAAAAUUAAUGGUUGAGUAAUCAUUCUUGGCAAUCUCAAUACCAGAUUUGUUGCUGACAAUGAAAGCCUUGAGGGACAAGGCCUUUUCUACGUGAGUUUGGACUCUAUAGGCAACUCUUCAGUGGCUUUUCUGUUUCUAGCAUUUUACUCACAUCCUUACCUGGUGAACUGAACUGCAGGUUGUGCCAUACAUAACCCCUCUGCUUUCCCAUCACUCUAGGAGGGCAGCCCGGAUUUGGUGGAAAGUAUUCUCAUCAGCAUGCAGCUAGACACGAGGACCUAACAGAUUAAGAUGUGCCACAGGGUUUGCAGAUUCCUUGACCAUCUGUUUGCUGGUUCAGGAUUGUUGAAAUCUGCACUGUUUGCAUGUUUUAUGAGGCUUCUCCAGUCACAUGGUGGCAGGAUGACCAUAAUACAAGGCUGUGAGAGGAAGGUAUCUGGGGUCCCUUCAACCUGCCUCCCAUUCUCAUCAAAGUCAUCCCUCUGCUCACUGAGACAGAUGCACAGCUGACUGCCUCCUUUGGAAAGGCUGAUCAGAAACUCACAAGAAUGCAACUGUUCAUCUCUCACCUAUGUGUGACCUGGAGGCCCCCUUCCCUUUGAGUCUUCCUGCCCUUGCUUCAAGUUGUCCCGCCUUUCCAGACCGAACCAAUGUUCUUCUUACAUAUACUGAUUGAUGUCUCAUGUCUCCCUAAAAUGUAUAAAACGAAGCUGUGCCUGACCACCUCGGGUGCAUGUUAUCAGGACCUCCUGGGGCAGUGUCACGGGUGCAUCCUCAACCUUGGAAAAAUAAACUUUCUAAAUUGAGACCUGUCUCAGAUUUUCGGGGUUCACGAGGUACAUAAAUAACAAGUAAGGGCAAGAAUGUGGAAAAAUUGAAACCCUCAUUGCUGGUGAGAAUGUAAAAUGGUGUAGCCACUUUGGAAAACAAUUUGGCAAUACUUAAAAAUGUUAAACCACAUGAAAACUGAAGUCCACACAAAAGCUUGUAAAUGAAUGUUCAUAGCAGCAUCACUCAUAAUAGUCAAAAAAUGCAAACAACCCAAAUGUCAAUCAACUGAUGGAUAAAAUGUAGUAUAUCCAUAUAAUGGAAUAGUUUUUAAUUUUUUUGUUUUAUUUAUUUAAUGAAAUAUUCAUCAGCAAUAAAAAAGAACUAGCUGCUGCUGUCUGCUCUAAUGUGGACCUUGAGAACAUUGUUAAAUGAAAGCAGUCACAAAUGACUCCAUGUUUUGUGUUUCCAUCCAUACGAAACGUCUAGAACAGGUAAAUCUAUAGAGGCAGAAAAUAGAUUAGUGGUUGCCAGGGUCUGAGGGAAUGGAAGUGGGAAAUGACUCUUUAUGGGUAUAGGGUUUCUUUUCGGGAUGGUAACAUUCUCCUAAAAUUAGAUUGUGGUAUUGGUUCCACAACACUGAAAAACCACCUCACCUUAAACUGGUGAAUUUUAUAGCACAUGGAUUAGAUCUCAACAAAAACUUUUAUUGAAGAAAGAUUUAUCUGGAGAUGGAGAGUGGUGAUGGUUGCAUAGUAUGAAUAUACUUAAUGUCCUUAAACAUUAAGGUGAUAAAUCUUGUUAUAAAUAACAAUAAAAAAUGAGUUUCAAUAAAUUAUUUGGGGACAUUUGUGUCUUAUGCCUCAGCUUGGAACAACUCUCCUGUGAAUAAAAUGCUUGUGAUGUGUUAA